rnacentral:rRNA from 1 species
GACUGUGCAAAGGUAGCAUAAUCAGUUGGCUUUUAAUUAGAGUCUUGUAUGAACGAAAAUAUGGGUAGUAACUGUCUUAGCAUAUUUUUUUGAACUUUUUAAACAAGUGCAAAUGCUUGUAAUUUAACAAUAGACGAGAAGACCCUAGAAACUUGGACAAGUUUUUGUUGGGGCGACAGAAUUACAUUUAACUAAUCUUAUAAUACAUGACGCGAUGUUGAAAGAAUAAGUUACUCUAGGGAUAACAGCAUAAUUUCAUUAGUUUGUGACCUCGAUGUUGGACUAGGUACUAUACCCUUUAGGCAAGGAUAUAUUGUGCUCUGUUCGAGCAAAUACACCUACAUGAUCUGAGUUCAGACCGGCGUAAGCCAG